rnacentral:rRNA from 1 species
GUGGCAGACGGGUGAGUAACACGUGGGAACGUACCCUUCGGUUCGGAACAACUCUGGGAAACUGGAGCUAAUACCGGAUACGCCCUUUUGGGGAAAGGUUUACUGCCGAAGGAUCGGCCCGCGUCUGAUUAGCUAGUUGGUGGGGUAACGGCCUACCAAGGCGACGAUCAGUAGCUGGUCUGAGAGGAUGAUCAGCCACAUUGGGACUGAGACACGGCCCAAACUCCUACGGGAGGCAGCAGUGGGGAAUAUUGGACAAUGGGCGCAAGCCUGAUCCAGCCAUGCCGCGUGAGUGAUGAAGGCCUUAGGGUUGUAAAGCUCUUUUGUCCGGGACGAUAAUGACGGUACCGGAAGAAUAAGCCCCGGCUAACUUCGUGCCAGCAGCCGCGGUAAUACGAAGGGGGCUAGCGUUGCUCGGAAUCACUGGGCGUAAAGGGCGCGUAGGCGGCCAUUCAAGUCGGGGGUGAAAGCCUGUGGCUCAACCACAGAAUUGCCUUCGAUA